rnacentral:rRNA from 1 species
UACGAAGGGGGGCUAGCGUUUGCUCGGAAUCACUGGGCGUAAAGGGGUGCGUAGGCGGGUCUUUUAAGUCAGGGGGUGAAAUCCUGGAGCUCAACUCCAGAACUGCCUUUGAUACUGAAGAUCUUGAGUGCGGGAGAGGUGAGUGGAACUGCGAGUGUAGAGGUGAAAUUCGUAGAUAUUCGCAAGAACACCAGUGGCGAAGGCGGCUCACUGGACCGGAACUGACGCUGAGGCGCGAAAGCGUGGGGAGCAAAC